AACGCGAAGAACCUUACCUGGGUUUGAACUGCAGCGGACAGACACAGAAAUGUGUUCUCCCUUCGGGGUCGCUGUGGAGGUGCUGCAUGGCUGUCGUCAGCUCGUGUCGUGAGAUGUUGGGUUAAGUCCCGCAACGAGCGCAACCCUUGCCAGUAGUUGCCAACGGGUAAAGCCGGGAACUCUACUGGGACCGCCGGUGUUAAACCGGAGGAAGGUGGGGAUGACGUCAAGUCCUCAUGGCCCUUAUGUCCAGGGCUACACACGUGCUACAAUGGCCGGUACAAUGGGUCGCCAAAUCGCAAGAUGGAGCUAAUCUCAAAAAACCGGCCUCAGUUCAGAUUGUAGUCUGCAACUCGACUACAUGAAGGUGGAAUUGCUAGUAAUCGCGGAUCAGAAUGCCGCGGUGAAUACGUUCCCGGGCCUUGUACACACCGGUACUA
rnacentral:rRNA from 1 species